rnacentral:rRNA from 1 species
AUUGAACGCUGGCGGUAGGCCUAACACAUGCAAGUCGAACGGCAGCACAUGUGCGCUUGCUCUCUGGUUGGCGAGUGGCGGACGGUUGAUGAAUACAUCGGAAUCUGCCCAGUCGUGGGGGAUAACGUAUUUAAACUUACGCUAUUACCUCUUACGACCUUCGCGUGAAAGCGGGGGAUCUCAAGACCUCUCGCGAUUGGAUGAGCCGAUGUCUGAUUAGCUAGUUGGCGGGGUAAUGGCCCACCAAGGCGACGAUCCGUAGCUGGUCUGAGAGGAUGAUCAGCCACACUGGAACUGAGACACGGUCCAGACUCCUACGGGAGGCAGCAGUGGGGAAUAUUGGACAAUGGGCGAAAGCCUGAUCCAGCCAUACCGCGUGGAGGAAGAAGGCCUUCGGGUUGUAAAGCCCUUUUGUAGGGAAAGAAAACUUUCAGGCUAAUAACGUGGGAGGAUGACGGUACCCAAAGAAUAAGCACCGGCUAACUUCGUG